AGGACUUACUCCUCGGAGUGAGAGCGUACACAGGUGCUGCAUGGCUGUCGUCAGCUCGUGUCGUGAGAUGUUGGGUUAAGUCCCGCAACGAGCGCAACCCUGCAUUCAGUUGCCAUCGGUAAGGCCGGGCACUCUGGAUGGACUGCCGGCGACAAGCCGGAGGAAGUGGGGACGACGUCAAGUCAUCAUGGCCCUUAUGUCCAGGGCGACACACGUGCUACAAUGGCCGGCACAACGGGAAGCGAAGGGGCGACCCUGAGCGGAUCCCACAAAAGCCGGUCUCAGUUCGGAUUGCAGUCUGCAACUCGACUGCAUGAAGUUGGAAUCGCUAGUAAUCGUGGAUCAGCCAAGCCGCGGUGAAUACGUUCCCGGGCCUU
rnacentral:rRNA from 1 species